AAGAAGCAGCAACUUAAGAAAACAGGAAGUGUUCUUCGUUAAGACAUUAAAAAAAUAAAAACAAAUCAUAUAGUAAGAACAUAAACCCUGAAACAGGUCAUAAUAAGCCAAACAGCUUAAAACAUACCUGACCCAAAUCAUUUUACUCUCCGAGAUUAUUAGAUUUAAUCUUUCUACUAAGCCUGGCAGACAAACCAAACUCCCAAGAUACUUCCACCAGCGUGACAGAGCAAGUGGCAUUCUGAUACGUUCCACAUCACACAGCAAACAGCAAAGCCUUGGAGGCAGACUCCUGGAGUGGCCCCUGUGUCCAGUGUCUAGUGAGCAGAGUGUCUCCCACAGCACAGGUCGGGAGCAAACCCGCCCCAGAACAGAAGCUAUAGGGAACCCACAAGCAGGUAUGUGGUGCCUUCCUAUCAACAACCAGCCCAUCAACCAGACGCUCUACGGAGAUGGGGUGCAGGUUACCGAGCGCACGGGGUGAGGGGGCCCUAACCUAACACCCAAAUGGAGAACAGUUCUCAGUGCCCCCCUCUAAUGGGGCUGGGCAGACCCCUAUCUCCUCAAAGCCCACGAUUAGGAGCGUGAGGUACAAGCAGGGCUCCUGGCGAUCCAAUCACAACUGUCUCCACAUCGUAAGCAGCUACAGGUGGAGGCACCAUCCCCUGCCCGCUCUGGGAGUGUCCGCCCGCUCCAUCUCUGCUGGGCCUCGCGGGGGCCUCGCCUCUUCCCCAAGCCACCUGUCCUGCCGUCAGAGCCCCCGUCGGCCUUGCAGGCCCCCGUCUGUGCGCAGCCUGGGUCUGCCUGCCGCGGCCUGGCUCUUUAGGAAGCUAA